UACGAAGGGGGCUAGCGUUGCUCGGAAUCACUGGGCGUAAAGCGCACGUAGGCGGCUUCUUAAGUCAGGGGUGAAAUCCUGGAGCUCAACUCCAGAACUGCCUUUGAUACUGAGGAGCUUGAGUCCGGGAGAGGUGAGUGGAACUGCGAGUGUAGAGGUGAAAUUCGUAGAUAUUCGCAAGAACACCAGUGGCGAAGGCGGCUCACUGGCCCGGAACUGACGCUGAGGUGCGAAAGCGUGGGGAGCGAACAGG
rnacentral:rRNA from 1 species